CUCAGAUGGUUAGUCAAGGAGCAUUUUCUAGAAGUGUGUUUUAAACAAGAUUUAAGAGAAGCUAUAGAUAUACACCGGUGAAAAAGAAAGGUUCAGAUAAAAGGGAAGUAAAACAAAUUAUGCACUGGGGAGCUAUAUCAGAAGAAGGGAGAAUGGAUGCUAAUAAAAAAGAAAGAUGUCCAUCGCAGGAUGGUUAAGCAAGCUCUUGGCUGGAACGGAUAAGGAAUGUUGGGAAGCAGUGACUGGUAACAUUACUGAGAUGUAGAUUCACAAUCUUGCUACCCACAUUUUGCCUGAAUACUUGGCUAGAUUCUAAGGGAAAAUCAAAGAGGGGAGAUAGUGCUUGACCUGUUAGAACUUACAUUCUUGCUGAUGAGACAAGGCAACUGAAGGUAGAGAAGGGAUGGCCUGUAAGGGCAGCUUGGGUUUUAUAUGGUGUGUGAUGGAAGGAGCCUUUGUAGAGUCUCAUGUAUCAUCCUGUCUCUGUCAUCUGCUCAGGAGGGAGAGGUCUGAGCUGGGAAAUAUCACACUGAGCAGGUGACGACGUUUCCAAAAUCAAUUCUUGUCACUAUAUAUAAUUAAUUAGCAAAAGAGCUUUUUUUUCCCCCCCACAAAACUCUUUUGAACCAUUUCAGAAAAAAAGAUGGGCUGCCUAGAGUCUUCCAUCCAUGAUUAACAGUUAAUGGAAAACCACUGGUUUGCUUAUGCAGACAGCACUUGAUGUCAGUAACUUCAAGCUGUUUUCCAAUUUUACAGUAAAGUUUUAUACUGAAACCAAUUUAGGAAGCUAUUUAGUCCGCUGUUUUUUUUGUUUUUUGUUUUUUUGUUUUUGUUUUUGUUAUUUUUUGUGGAAAGAUGAUGUGGGUAGAGUAGAAUAAUGACAUUUCCUUUUCCACACCAAAAUAUUACCAAGGUACUAAUGGCUCCAUUUUACCAAUGGUUCCAUUUG